GCAGCCACCGGAUAUGAAUAAACCUAAAAAGAGGCAAAUUUGAAAAAAAUUCGAAAAAGAAAAUUCAACGUCAGAAUGGAAGUGAUUAACCAAAAGGAGGAUGAAGAUCAUCCGAGGGCGAUAGAAGACAGCGACAACGCCGUCGAUACCGAAUAUGGCACAUUGUACGGUGCCGAAGAGAACGGAGAAGAAGAAAACGCGUUGGAGAAUGAAGAGGAAGAGGAAGGAGAAAGCGAUACGGUGGAUGAAGAUCAAUUCAGGUUCUGCGGCGGUGUAAAUCCGUUGGACUUCGUACGUAACAAUGAUUCCAGUGUUCAAUUGUACCAGAAAUUAGAAGAUUACCACCAGAAAUCGAUACAGUACCGAGCUCUCGAUAACAGAAAGCGAAAACCACCGCAACAACCUCAUCGUGAAGAGACUUCUUCUAAGAAGGCAAGGGAAGAUGAUAUUUCUGGGGUAGGCCUAGCUGAUAUAGAGGAGGAAUUAAUGAAUUUGGGACAUGGCAAGAGAUCAAAAAAGAAGCGGUCAAAAAAAAGAGGUAGGCAAAAAGGAUCAAAGAAGAAACUUGACGAAAAGAUAUCACAAAUGUUCGGUGAUGCCCUCAUGCACUAUACGAGUCGCCGUUAUGACAUGGCUAUAGAUGUGUUGCAUGAAGUUGUCAGGCUGGAACCAAAUUUACCUGACCCGUAUCACAUCCUUGGAGCUGUCCAUGGUGCAAUUGGGGAUCAUGAAAAUGAAAUGGGUUUUUACAUGAUUUAUGCUCAUUUGACUCCAAAAGAUUCAUCACUUUGGGAAAGGCUCUUUGUGUGGUCCAUAAAACAAGGUGAUGCUGGUCAAGCCAGUUAUUGUAUUUCAAAAGCAAUAAAAGCAGACCCCCAAGAUAUUAGUCUUAGAAGGCAUCAAGCAUUGCUUUAUGCUGAAAGUCAAAAUUAUCAAAAAGCUGCUGAGGCAUAUGAACAAAUACAUCAACUUUGUCGUGAAGAUGAUGCACUAAAAGAAGCAGCUAAGUUCUACCGAAAGUGUGGUCAAGUUGAGCGCUCAAUUUGCAUUCUCGAAGACUAUCUGAAGAGUAAACCAGAUGGUGUAAAUGCAAGUGUAGUUGAUCUACUUGGUGCCAUAUUGAUGGAAAUUAAGGCGCAUGACAGAGCUCUUCAGUUCAUAGAACAAUCUCAAGUGGUUGGGAAAGAAUUGCCCUUAAAUUUGAAAGUUAAAGCUGGAAUCUGCCAUGUUCAUCUUGGAAACAUGGAAAUCGCUCAGGUUUUCUUCAAUGAUCUGAAACCAGAGAAUGCAAGCAAGCACGUUGAGUUGAUCACCGAGGUCGCAGACUCAUUGAUGGGUCUUGGACAUUAUAAUUCUGCAUUGAAUUAUUUUAAGAUGUUGGAAGGAAAUAGUAAAAAUGAAAAUGGUUUUCUGUAUUUAAAAAUUGCUAGAUGUUAUCGAUCCUUGGAAGAAAGGAAACAAGCAAUUAUCUCUUUUUACAAAGCCCUAGAAACACUACAAGACGAUGUUGAAGCACGCGUAGCUUUGGCUUCCCUUCUAGUUGAGGAGGGGAAAGAAAAUGAAGCCAUUUCCUUGUUGUCUCCUCCAAAGGAUUCUGACUCUGGUGAAGCACAUUCUGAAAAGUCAAAUAGAUGGUGGGUUGAUGUGAGAAUAAAACUUAAGCUCUGUAACAUUUUUCAGAUUAGAGGGAUGCUUAAUGAUUUUGUGAAUGUAAGUCUCCCUUUGGUACAUGAAUCUCUGCAUGUUCCAGCUCCUAGACGAAAGGGCCAAUCAAAAAGGCGUCUCUCCAUAAGAGAUCUUGAGAAAAGAGUAAGGGUACUGAAUGUUCCAGAAACAAAUAGCGUAUUUCGAGGAUUCAGGCCCAUAACCUCAUCAUCUGAUCUGUCGAAAGCUUCCAGGGCAAAAAAGUUGCUCUUGAAAAAGGCAAUUGAGAAGGAGAGAAAGAAAGCUGAGGCAGUGGCCUCUGGAAUUGACUGGCUAAGUGAUGACUCAGAUGAUGAGCCUCAGGAACCAAACACAGAUUCUCCCUUGUGUAAUCUUCACAAAGAUGAAGGAUAUCACCAGCUAAUCAUUGAUUUGUGCAAUGCAUUAGCAUCCUUGCAAAGGUAUAGCGAAGCAUUGGAGAUUAUCAAUUUAACUCUAAGAUUGGCUCAUACUUCCCUGUCUACUGAGAAGAAUGAGAAGCUUCGAUCUCUUGAAGUUCAAAUGGCAUACAACACCACAGAUCCUAAACAAGGUUUUGAUUGUGUAAAAGACAUGGUUCAACAACAUGCACAUAGUGUUGCAGCUUGGAAUUGCUACUACAAGGUCGUAUCGAGACUGGAAAACCGAGAUACAAGGCACGACAAAUUUUUACGUUCCAUGCAAGGAAAAUUUGUCGAUUGUGUGCCUCCUAUCCUCAUUUCUGCGCAUCAGUUUACUCUAUGUAGCCAUCAUCAAGAUGCGGCAAGGAAAUAUCUUGAAGCUUAUAAACUUCUGCCCGAGAAUCCAUUGGUUAAUCUUUGUGUCGGUACGGCCUUGGUCAACCUGGCGCUGGGUUUCAGACUUCAUAAUAAGCAUCAGUGUAUUGUACAAGGUUUAGCAUUCCUCUACAAUAAUUUGGAGAUCUGUACGAACAGUCAGAUGCAAUGUUGGCCUCAUCCUUCAUCUCAAAUGCACUAGCUUGAGCCAUUGUCCAAGAUGAUCAUUCUGACGAUGACUUUUGUUGGUUAUGGGCUUAUGGCUCACUCUAGCCAAACUCUCUAUUCGGGUGCUUUGGCCUCGGCCUGAGCCUUUUUCCAGUGCACCACUAAUCCUGGUCCUAGAUGCACUGGCUUCAUCCUUCAUCCCAAACACACUAGCUCAGCCUUUGUCCCAGAUGCUCUGGCAUCAUCCUUCAUUCCAGAUGCACUGACUUGGCCUUUGUACUAGAAGCAGUUUUAAGAGUUGGUUUGAAGCUUCUAAAUGUGGUUUUGAGAAGGACGUCUAUCUUUGCGAGAUUGCUUGCCAUGAAAUUUCUCUCAGGCAGAUCAUGCUAUCAAUCUGGCCAAACUUAUAUGUCUUUAUAACAAUUCUUCCCGACUUCUUCAGCCUCCCUAAGUUGUCUUCCCAACCAUUACAUCUAUAUGCAGCAAAAUGCAUUGUUUUCUUUAACAAGGAAUCUUUAUACAACAUAGCUCGGGCAUACCAUCAUGUUGGUCUUGUAACACUGGCAGCAAUAUAUUAUGAGAAGGUGAUUGCUAUUAGGGAGAGAGACUAUCCAAUUCCUAAACUUCAAAAUGAGAGUAU